CCAAGAGUCCAUAUCGACGGCAGUGUUUGGCACCUCGAUGUCGGCUCAUCUCAUCCUGGGGCUGGAGCAGGUCCCAAGGGUACGGCUGUUCGCCGUUUAAAGAGGUACGUGAGCUGGGUUUAGAACGUCGUGAGACAGUUCGGUCCCUAUCUUCCGUGGGUGUAGGAUACUUGAGAGGAGUUGCCCCUAGUACGAGAGGACCGGGGUGAACGAUCCACUGGUGGACCAGUUGUUAUGCCAAUAGCAGUGCUGGGUAGCUAUGAUCGGACAGGAUAACCGCUGAAGGCAUCUAAGCGGGAAGCCCCCCUCAAAACAAGGUAUCCCUGAGAGCCGAGAUAGACCACCUCGUCGAUAGGCCAGAGAUGUAAGCGUAGUAACACGUUCAGUUGACUGGUACUAAUUGCUCGAUAGGCUUGAUUUG
rnacentral:rRNA from 1 species